rnacentral:rRNA from 1 species
AUACGAAGGGGGCUAGCGUUGUUCGGAAUCACUGGGCGUAAAGCGCACGUAGGCGGAUCAAUAAGUCAGGGGUGAAAUCCCGAGGCUCAACCUCGGAACUGCCUUUGAUACUGUUGACCUUGAGUCCGGGAGAGGUGAGUGGAACUCCGAGUGUAGAGGUGAAAUUCGUAGAUAUUCGGAAGAACACCAGUGGCGAAGGCGGCUCACUGGCCCGGUACUGACGCUGAGGUGCGAAAGCGUGGGGAGC